rnacentral:rRNA from 1 species
CAUGCAAGUCGAACGGUAACAGGAAUUAGCUUGCUAAUUUGCUGACGAGUGGCGCACGGGUGCGUAACGCGUAUACAAUCUACCUUUUGCUGAGGGAUAGCCCAGAGAAAUUUGGAUUAAUACCUCAUGGUAUUAUUGAUAGGCAUCUAUUAAUAAUUAAAGGUUACGGCAAAAGAUGAGUAUGCGUCCCAUUAGCUAGUUGGCGAGGUAACGGCUCACCAAGGCAACGAUGGGUAGGGGUCCUGAGAGGGAGAUCCCCCACACUGGUACUGAGACACGGACCAGACUCCUACGGGAGGCAGCAGUGAGGAAUAUUGGACAAUGGGCGAGAGCCUGAUCCAGCCAUGCCGCGUGCAGGAAGACUGCCCUAUGGGUUGUAAACUGCUUUUAUACAGGAAGAAUAAGCCUUACGUGUAAGGUGAUGACGGUACUGUAAGAAUAAGGACCGGCUAACUCCGUGCCAGCAGCCGCGGUAAUACGGAGGGUCCGAGCGUUAUCCGGAAUUAUUGGGUUUAAAGGGUCCGUAGGCGGAUGAUUAAGUCAGGGGUGAAAGUUUGCAGCUCAACUGUAAAAUUGCCUUUGAUACUGGUUAUCUUGAGUUGUAUUGAAGUAGGCGGAAUAUGUAGUGUAGCGGUGAAAUGCAUAGAUAUUACAUAGAACACCAAUUGCGAAGGCAGCUUACUAAGUACUAACUGACGCUGAUGGACGAAAGCGUGGGUAGCGAACAGGAUUAGAUACCCUGGUAGUCCACGCCGUAAACGAUGGAUACUAGCUGUUCGGG